UUUGAUAAACUGGUUUUUCUUCUCUCUUUGAUGAAACUGGCUUCUCUCCUGGCUUCCAUAACCUACUUUAUGCACGUAUUGAGUUAUGCAAUCACCCCCCUCUUUGUAUAAAAGAUCAAAGAAAGGCCCAACAGGAAGCUAAUCUGCAACGACCUGGUGGUGUAUAGAUAUUUGUCUGAAGAACCGAACCGUGGAACCGUUGCCAGACAAGAAAACCACGGGCAGGAAAAAGAAAAAAAAAGGAAAACCAAGUUGACUGGCCGGCACCGUCUGUGCAAAGCCAGGGCGCUCUUGCGGCGAGAGAGGCUCUGCGGUGCGUGACUGCUGAGACGUGAGAAGGGGAGAGAAUUGAUCACCGGGCUCUUUCCCAGCCGCACCAUGUCCCCCUCUGCCCGCCCCGUCUACUACAGCGUUGUUUUCGUCUGGUAUGUGACUCUUUUCUACGCCGUCUCCCACCAAAUCGCCAAACUGGAAAAGCCCGAAACGUCCACAGGCUACUUCUACCAGUUGUUUGGCGGUCAGUGGAGAUACCUGAGUGUUCUCAUUGUGUUUUUGCAGGUUUUUUUCUAUGGGAUUUCCUUGCUGACCAGUGCAUUCAUACUAAUGAAGAAACAAAGAAUUGCCACGAUCAUGAUAUCCUUUAAAGACUUGAUCUUUAGUAGCUUGGUUUUCCCAUUUUCCACAUUUGUAAUUGUUUCAUUUUGGAGUAUAUAUCUUUAUGAUCGGGAACUUAUUAUCCCAAAAUCUAUGGAUUCACUUUUUUCUGAAUGGAUAAAUCAUGGAAUGCACACUUUGGUAUUUCCUUUGGGCCUGGUAGAAAUGGUUGUUGUCCCUCAUCAGUAUUCAUCAGUGGGUAAAAGCCUCAGCAUCUUAGGAAUGACUGCACUGGGCUAUCAACUUUGGGUCCUCUACUAUUUUGCUAAAACAGGCAAAUGGUUAUAUCCUUUCUUCGAGUUCUUAAGUCCACUUGGCAUCAUAGUGUUUGCAGGGAUUGGUCUUGUCACCCUUUUCUUUUACUACAUGUUAGGAAGAUUUCUCAACCGCAUGAUUUGGGGUGACACAGUUCCAGUACUUGAUGUUUACAAGAAGAAAAGCAAAUGAAAAGCUGAUGGUGUCAUCAGGGCUUUUUUUCUCAUAGAACGCCCAGAACGGAGUUCCGGCACCUUUUUUGGAUGGAACCUUGUAGGCAACAAUCCUAUAAGGUAAAUUAGGCUGAGAAGAACUGCCCAAGGUCACCCACCUGGCUUUCAUGGACUAAGGUGAGAUUUGAACCAACAAUCUCCUGCUUUCUAGCCCGGUGCCUUAACCACUAGACCAACCAGCAAGAGUUGGAACAUGGGAGGGAGAAAUUAUGUCUAGACAACUUCAGUGCCUCACCCUUUAAAUCAGAGGUCCCCAACCUUUUGGGCACCAGGGAGAGAGGUUUUAUUGUGGACCAGAGGGUAUGUGGUUUUGUGUGCUGCUUGCAUCUCGCAGAUGAGGCUUUGGUUGUUUGUGCGGACUGGUUGCUGGCAUAUCGCAGCCCGGUACUGGUUCACGGACUGGGGGUUGGGGACCCCUGCUUUAAAUGAUGGAAGAAAAUGUUUCAUUCCAGUGAAAAUUGACUUCCUAAUAAUCUCAUGGACACAUCUGUAUAGCUUUCUUGGCAGAUCACACAGAAAUUGUUUUCCAUGUGGCACAGUCUUCUUCUAGAAUAUCUUUCAAUAUCCCAAAUUAUAGGCCUGGAAUGCCCUAGGGCAGGGGUAGGCAACCUUGGCUCUUUUAUGACUCGUGGACUUCAACUCCCAGAAAUUCUGGGAGUUGAAGUCUAUGGUCAUAACAGCCAAAGUUGCCUACCCCUGCCCUAGUGAUCUCCCAUCCAAUUAUUAAACCAAGUCUGACACUGCUUAGCUUCUCAAAUCCAGUCAAGCUGAUCAAUUUCUGCUGCUACUAAGACUGAACUGAGAGCUAUUCUCAAAGUAAAUAAUUUCUCAUGUUUUAUUUUUAUUUUUAAACAAUCCUGGAAAUAGUUUUGGCUAAACUAUUCAAAUUCCUUGAGUUCUGAUUCUUUUCCACUGCAAUGUUAGGCAAAAUUUGAUAGUAACAGUUAUAUUCAGGGUAUAGAAAUAUAUAGUGAAUAUACCGUAUGAGUUUCCCAUUUCUCUCUUUAUUUUCUUCUGUCUCUUCCUUAUGACUAGGUUGUUGGAGUUUAAGACCUCAGUGUGUAAAAAAAAGAAAGAAAAAAGUGAUGUAACAUGGAAAGUAUUUUAGGGCAAGAGCAUGCAUGAAGAAAGUUGUGGAUGCAAAGCUAGACUUUAAUAUUUUUUUCAUGCUGCAGCUGACAUGCCCGAAAUUCCCAUAGAACUGCUUUAGGAUUACACUAUUCAGGCUUCUAUCAUUAGGCCACCUCAUGGAGCAGUUUUUGCAGGGCAGGAUCGAUGACUUCUUGAGUGACCAAGUGAUAUCUGCAUCCCCAGAGACAACUUUCCCAAAUGACCCUUGCCCUGUUCUCAGAUGUGGCUGAGAAUAUAGCACCCAAACUAUUUGUUCUGUAAUAAGGGCGACCUUUUUGGAUUGCAAAAGAUCUGCAGACCGGCAUAAAUGACAUUCUUGUCCACGAUGCUCUCUCUUUGGAGGGCUCUCUUGUCCCUGGCAGGAUGAAAGAUUCUAGAUAGCCUAGAAAUCUAUUUAAAUAAAUAGUCAUCCUUAAGGAAGAUGCAGUUCUAUUAGAAUAGGCAGGAAAUCUGCAUCCAUUCAUUUUAUUUAGGCUUAAAAAGGGAACUGCUUUUUUAGAGCGUGACUAUUAUUCAUAGAGUUCUUUUGGUUAGCAUUUUGAAUGACUGUUUUUCAUACAUUUUUAUUAAGGUUGCCAACUCUCUGCUGAGCAUAGGGUUUGCAUACAGAAGAAGAAUCAAUCCCAGGUUCUCUACAGUUCCAAAGCAACAGAAAAGAUUCUCUGCUUGAAAUUGUAGGGAGUUUCGGUUAACUGGGGCAAGUAAUGGGAGCUCAUCCCCUUGCUCAGGGCUCAGGUCUCGAACCUGGGCUGUCAGUUUUCCAGCUGACAAGCUCAGCAUCUUUAACCGUCGAGUCUGCCGACCUAGCAGUUUAAAAUCAUGCAUAUGCGAGUAGAUAAAUAGGUAGCUCUUCGAUGGGAGGGUAAUGGCAUUCCCUGCAUCUCGGCGAAUAGUCAUGCUGGCCAAAUGACCAUGGAAACAUCUUCGGAUAACACUAGCUCCCUAGACCAGGGGUAGGCAACCUUGGCUCUUUUAUGACUCGUGGACUUCAACUCCCAGAAUUCCUGAGGCAGCCAUACUGAGGGGAAAGGGAGAGGUUUCCAAGCGGAGUCAUGCUGGCUCAGGAAUUCUGGGAGUUGAAGUCCACGAGUCAUAAAAGAGCCAAGGUUACCCACCCCUGCCCUAAAUGGAGAUGAGCACCACCCCUUAGAGAGGACACAACUGGCCAGGGGAAAGCUUUACAAAGAUUUUACCUUUUGUAUUAGCUGGAAAGGUUAAUACCUCACUAAAUGAAGAUUUCUUUACCUCGGCAUAAGACACCAUCCCGAGUUGCCUUUUCACACAUUAAUAAAAAAAACCCUGCAUGCUAAUCUUCCUGCAUUGUUCCAAUAUUUCUUUGCAAAUGCUUGAAAUAUAAAUCCUUUUAAAUGGCUGUAGUCAGUAGUUUUUAACUUUGUGCCACAACAUCACAGAGUUAGAUUGGAAAAUAAUGUCAAACUCUUACCUGGUAGUCCUAGAGGACAGAAUGUGCUUUCCCAUCUUAACAAAUUGUUCUGGGCCAUUUAAUCGACAAAAAUGUUAUUCUAGUGAAUUGAUCAACUACUUGAUUUGGUUGAACUUUUGGUUUACACUGUACAUGUACAUGGGUCAAAAAGUAAGACAUGCCCCGAUAAGGAACAUGCCCUCUAUUCUAAGCAACUACACAUUCUCAGCUCUUCCUUGAUGCCAGUAAGUGAACAAUGGUCCUUGUGCGUGGCUCAGAGGACUGCCAAAACCAAUAUUUGGUGCUACUGUGUGUAUGUGCUCCCACUCCUGGCUCAGCGACAACCCUUGAAAACAAAACAGCUUCUAGAGCAGGGGGUUGCUUUGUAUGGAGGCUAUUAUGCAUCUUAACCGGCUCACAAAGUCAGUGUUUUAAAAAUAUCAGGGACAGUUAUUCAAAGAAGGAGGUGAGGAAUGAAAAAUAAAAAUCAGUGGGAAGUUAUAAAUAAAUGUUUAUUUUAACUAAGAAAAAUCAGAUUGGAAAGGGCAGCCAAAAUGCUUUGCAGUGUUUUACGUAAAGGAAUUCUGCUCAUUUUGCUCAAGCACACAAGUGCAGCAAAUGCAUUCAACCUGUGCUAAUAACUGAGUAAGUAAUAAUAUAAAUAAAUCAUUUGUGCCCCCUGCAAAUAUUAACAUGCAUUUGCAAGUCUGCUGGUAAGCCAUACAUUAAAACAAUUAUUAUUGUCUCAGACUGGAAUAAACAUCUGCAAGACUUUUUCUA